rnacentral:rRNA from 1 species
AUGAACGCAGCGGGAGGCUUAACACAUGCAAGUCGAGGGGCAGCACUGGGUAGCAAUACUCUGGUGGCGACCGGCGCACGGGUGAGUAACGCGUAUGCAACCUGCCCUUUACCGGAAGAUAACCCGGAGAAAUCCGGACUAAUAUUCCAUGUUAUUACAGAAAGGCAUCUUUUUAUAAUCAAAGUUUAUGGCGAAAGCUGUAUGCGGUAAAGGAGGGGCAUGCGUAACAUUAGCUAGUUGGCAGGGUAACGGCCUGCCAAGGCGAUGAUGUUUAGGGGGCCUGAGAGGGUGAUCCCCCACACUGGUACUGAGACACGGACCAGACUCCUACGGGAGGCAGCAGUGAGGAAUAUUGCGCAAUGGGGGCAACCCUGACGCAGCAACGCCGCGUGAGUGAGGAAGGUUUUCGGACUGUAAAGCUCUGUCGAGCGGGAAGAAGUGUACCAUGGCUAAUAUCCAUGAUAUUUGACGGUACCGCUAGAGGAAGCACCGGCUAACUCCGUG